UAUGAUUAAAUAGUCAAAAUUUAAUUUGCAGUAAAACUGAAUGGUGGACGACAUGUCACAGGCAUUCUGAGAGGAUUUGACCCUUUCAUGAAUUUGGUAAUGGAUGAGGCAGUUGAACAGCUUAAGAAUGGUGAAACCAACAAUAUUGGAAUGAUUGUUAUUCGAGGCAACAGUAUUGUUUUACUUGAAGCAUUAGAUCGAGUGGCUUGACAUAUCAGAUCGUGCAUUUUUCAUAUAUCAACUUUCAUUAAUAAUUUUUGCAUUGUGUCUAAUUUGUAAUAAAUGUUAGAGUUGCAUUUUUAA